UACGUAGGUGGCAAGCGUUGUCCGGAUUUACUGGGUGUAAAGGGCGUGCAGCCGGAGAGACAAGUCAGAUGUGAAAUCCACGGGCUCAACCCGUGAACUGCAUUUGAAACUGUUUCCCUUGAGUGUCGGAGAGGUAAUCGGAAUUCCUUGUGUAGCGGUGAAAUGCGUAGAUAUAAGGAAGAACACCAGUGGCGAAGGCGGAUUGCUGGACGAUAACUGACGGUGAGGCGCGAAAGCGUGGGGAGCAAACAGG
rnacentral:rRNA from 1 species